GGAAAGCCUUAAAAAGCAUUAUUUGGGCAUAUUGGAUUUUAAUACACUGCUUCUGCCCCUUUAACUACUAUGGGAAAGGAUUUGUACUUUUGAAAUGGCGUUUUAGAUGCAGCCGUUCAUGCAUUCGAACAGUAUUUGGACUAUGGUGAAUAGACCGGCCGCACAGCCCAAAUCUGUGGAACCGUUUUGGGCAGGAAAGCUAUGCUUGCAGUUGGUCAAAUGGGACUUCUA